GAUGAAGAAACGCAGCGAAAUGCGAUAAGUAAUGUGAAUUGCAGAAUUCAGUGAAUCAUCGAAUCUUUGAACGCACAUUGCGCCCCCUGGUAUUCCGGGGGGCAUGCCUGUUCGAGCGUCAUUUCACCACUCAAGCCUCGCUUGGUAUUGGGCAACGCGGUCCGCCGCGUGCCUCAAAUCGACCGGCUGGGUCUUCUGUCCCCUAAGCGUUGUGGAAACUAUUCGCUAAAGGGUGUUCGGGAGGCUACGCCGUAAAACAACCCCAUUUCUAAGGUUGACCUCGGAUCAGGUAGGGAUACCCGCUGAACUUAAGCAUAUCAAUAAGCGGAGGA
rnacentral:misc_RNA from 1 species